AGGACGAACGCUGGCGGCGCGCCUAACACAUGCAAGUCGAGCGAGAACCAGGGCUUGCCCUGGGGACAGCGGCGAACGGGUGCGUAACACGUGAGCAACCUGCCCCAAAGACCGGGACAACCCGAGGAAACUCGGACUAAUACCGGAUGCCCUCACCGGGGCGCAUGGUCUGGUGAGGAAAUGGAUUCCGCUUUGGGAUGGGCUCGCGGUCUAUCAGCUUGUUGGUGGGGUAACGGCCUACCAAGGCGACGACGGAUAGCUGGUCUGAGAGGACGAUCAGCCACACUGGGACUGAGACACGGCCCAGACUCCUACGGGAGGCAGCAGUGGGGAAUCUUGCGCAAUGGGGGAAACCCUGACGCAGCGACGCCGCGUGCGGGAUGAAGGCCUUCGGGUUGUAAACCGCUUUCAGCAGGGACGAAAUUGACGGUACCUGCAGAAGAAGGCCCGGCCAACUACGUGCCAGCAGCCGC
rnacentral:rRNA from 1 species